AAGACACAAAAUGAGUUUUUUUUUGGGAGGGGGGUUGGGAUACCUAUAAAAUCUAUAGUGGCAUUGUUAAAAUGCAGUUACAUUUAUGGCUGUAAAACAUAGGGAACCUCGUUGAUCAAUGUCGCAUAGGCAGCGUACUUUAGCUGUGCUUAUAUGAUGCCACCCCUUUUUAAAAGUUGGGGUGACAUGCAUCCCUCAUGUUACGCCUAUGAAGUCAUGCCACUGAGUGACCAAGCUAGCCAGACAAGCUUGACAUAAACCAAGAUUAGAUUUAAGUGCCUUACAAUAGCCAUAAAAAUACUAUUAAAGCUAAAAGUGUUCCAUUUUAGGUCUGACGUAUACUGCAAUUCUUUUUUUAAGAUCCUUAGAUAAAAGCCAAAUUUAACUCACAUGCCUUUGUUACAUAAUCAAUAAAAUUGUCUAUUUUCCCUUUUCUCUAUUACUUUUAAACUGCUUAUACUAUUUUAUUAUAAAGUCAUACUUAUAGUGACGUGCAGUUUUGAAAACCGACCAUUUUGCUUAAUCUAAUUUCAACACAUUUGCUGAAAAAUAUCCUAUUUUUUAUGUAAGUGUAAAACUCCCCAUGAAGUGUAGAAUCAACCUGCUUAGUAUAUGAAGGUACUUCCUCCCAAAUUUCCCAUUGUAUUAUAUAACAUUUCAAAAAUAAACAAG